rnacentral:rRNA from 1 species
GACGAACGCUGGCGGCGUGCUUAACACAUGCAAGUCGAACGGAAAGGCCCUGCUUUUGUGGGGUGCUCGAGUGGCGAACGGGUGAGUAACACGUGAGUAACCUGCCCUUGACUUUGGGAUAACUUCAGGAAACUGGGGCUAAUACCGGCUAGGAGCUCCUGCUGCAUGGUGGGGGUUGGAAAGUUUCGGCGGUUGGGGAUGGACUCGCGGCUUAUCAGCUUGUUGGUGGGGUAGUGGCUUACCAAGGCUUUGACGGGUAGCCGGCCUGGGCGGGUGACCGGCCACAUGGGGACUGAGAUACGGCCCAGACUCCUACGGGAGGCAGCAGUGGGGAAUAUUGCACAAUGGGCGGAAGCCUGAUGCAGCAACGCCGCGUGCGGGAUGACGGCCUUCGGGUUGUAAACCGCUUUCGCCUGUGACGAAGCGUGAGUGACGGUAAUGGGUAAAGAAGCACCGGCUAACUACGUG